UACGAAGGGGGCUAGCGUUGUUCGGAAUCACUGGGCGUAAAGGGCGCGUAGGCGGCCUGAUAAGUCGGGGGUGAAAGCCUGUGGCUCAACCACAGAAUUGCCUUCGAUACUGUUAGGCUUGAGACCGGAAGAGGUAAGUGGAACUGCGAGUGUAGAGGUGAAAUUCGUGAGAAUAUUCGCAAGAACACCAGUGGCGAAGGCGGCUUGACUGGUCCGGUUCUGACGCUGAGGGCGCGAAAAGCGGUGGGGAGCAAACAGG
rnacentral:rRNA from 1 species